rnacentral:rRNA from 1 species
GACGAACGCUGGCGGCAUGCCUAACACAUGCAAGUCGAACGAGACCCCUGACUUCGGUUGGCGGGUCUAGUGGCGCACGGGUGCGUAACGCGUGGGAAUCUGCCCUUGGGUUCGGAAUAACUCAGAGAAAUUUGAGCUAAUACCGGAUGAUGACGAAAGUCCAAAGAUUUAUCGCCCAGGGAUGAGCCCGCGUAAGAUUAGCUUGUUGGUGGGGUAAUGGCCUACCAAGGCGACGAUCUUUAGCUGGUCUGAGAGGAUGAUCAGCCACACUGGGACUGAGACACGGCCCAGACUCCUACGGGAGGCAGCAGUGGGGAAUAUUGGACAAUGGGCGCAAGCCUGAUCCAGCAAUGCCGCGUGAGUGAUGAAGGCCUUAGGGUUGUAAAGCUCUUUUACCAGGGAUGAUAAUGACAGUACCUGGAGAAUAAGCUCCGGCUAACUCCGUGCCCAGCAGCCGCGGUAAGUCU